UUGGUUUCAGGUGUAAGCAAGUGUACCAGAGGGAUAGACAAGCAAAUCGGACGUUCCGGGCCCGUUGGAAGAAGAAAAUUGGACAUACAGUAGUCCUGACACGGCUACCCGUGUUGCCUAACACUGGCCGUGUCAGGAGAAGGCACUUGGAAGAGGAAAACAGGGAGCUGACACGGGUGCUCGUGUUAGCUGACACGGCCCGUGUCAGCCUCCCUGAAGGGGCGUGUCAAGGCUUUUUGCUCCAGAAGCC
rnacentral:lncRNA from 1 species